CAUGUGAUGGCACAUUAUUCUAGUCAAUUUAACUUACUAUGAAGGUGAACCUAAAAGCUCACUAAAGAGCACAUCUGUGAAACUUCUUGUGUUUGCUUUAUGCGCCCAGCUUAGGGUGGAUGCUGGAAGGUAAGGAUUUUGGGCACUCAUAACGGCAUAUGAUUCUGUCCCAAUUUCCGUGGAGACCUAUCUUUGUGUCUUUGAAUAAUAAAUAAAGAUACGAACUAGGAUUAAACCUACUAUGUGGGGAAACUUGCGAGUAGCGUAGCUUGUCUUGAGUGACUAUAGGGAAUAAUUGAUCAGUUAGAUAUUUCCUAGCUAGAUAUAUCUAAUAUUGCUUUUUGAAACUAUAGUUGCAAAAAAGAAUUAAUAGUAAGAAAUUGCUUGAGGAAAUCUCCUAGAGUGACAUUUUUAUAGGAUUACAGUAUGUACUAAGUGGUAAUCAAGUCAUAUAUUUGGUGACAAUAUAUUAUCUUUUUUAAAGGGAAACCACUAAUUUGGUAACGAAUUAGUAAAAGAUAGGGAAAUCCUACUUGACCUAAGACAUAAAGUUAACUAUAAAAAUUGCCAUUUUAUGAA
rnacentral:sRNA from 1 species